rnacentral:rRNA from 1 species
UUAUGGUGGGCGACUCUAAGGAGACUGCCGGUGGACAAACCGGAGGAAGGUGGGGAUGACGUCAAGUCAUCAUGGCCCUUACGGCCUGGGCUACACACGUGCUACAAUGGUCGGUACAAAGGGUUGCCAAGCCGCGAGGUGGAGCUAAUCCCAUAAAACCGAUCGUAGUCCGGAUCGCAGUCUGCAACUCGACUGCGUGAAGUCGGAAUCGCUAGUAAUCGUGAAUCAGAAUGUCACGGUGAAUACGUUCCCGGGCCUU